UACGGAGGAUCCAAGCGUUAUCCGGAUUUAUUGGGUUUAAAGGGUGCGUAGGCGGCCUGUUAAGUCAGAGGUGAAAGACGGUAGCUCAACUAUCGCAGUGCCUUUGAUACUGACGGCUUGAAUAAACUAGAGGUAGGCGGAAUGAGACAAGUAGCGGUGAAUGCAUAGAUAUGUCUCAGAACACCGAUUGCGAAGGCAGCUUACUAUGGUUUAUUGACGCUGAGGCACGAAGCGUGGAUCGAACAGG
rnacentral:rRNA from 1 species